CACGUAGGCUGUAGUGUAAGUCAGGGGUGAAAUCCCACGGCUCAACCGUGGAACUGCCUUUGAUACUGCACAACUUGAAUCCGGGAGAGGGUGGCGGAAUUCCAGGUGUAGGAGUGAAAUCCGUAGAUAUCUGGAGGAACAUCAGUGGCGAGGGCGGCCACCUGGACCGGUAUUGACGCUAAGGUGCGAAAGCGUGGGGAGCAAACA
rnacentral:rRNA from 1 species